rnacentral:rRNA from 1 species
UACGUAGGGUGCGAGCGUUAAUCGGAAUUACUGGGCGUAAAGCGUGCGCAGGCGGUGAUGUAAGACAGGUGUGAAAUCCCCGGGCUUAACCUGGGAACUGCAGUUGAAACUGGAAAGCUAGAGUAGGGUAGAGGGGUGUGGAAUUCCAGGUGUAGCGGUGAAAUGCGUAGAUAUCUGGAGGAACAUCAGUGGCGAAGGCGACACCCUGGACUCAUACUGACACUGAGGUGCGAAAGCGUGGGGAGCAAACAGG